GCCACAGCCAGUGGCUACUAAGGGUAGCUCGUCCGAGGACACUGAAAAAAUGCAGCCAGCCAGCUCUACUGAGUUUCCUCCAUACAGGCAGCGAGAUGAGUCAGCGGAGAGCGCGCCGCGGGAUCCACAUGGACCAGUCGGAGCUGCUCUGCAACAAGGGCUGUGGUUACUAUGGCAACGCGACCUAGCAGGGCCUGUGCUCCAAGUGCUGGCGGGAAGAGUGCCAGCGAGCUCAACAGAAGCAGAUCCAGGAAGACUGGGCCCUGGCUGUGAAAUGCAUAGACCUGGCCACUCAGAACAGGAUACGGGCGUUACACUGGGUGGACAUUCAGAUGCUCUGUAUGCCAGUGGAUGAGGAGAUCCCAGCGGUGUCAGACAACGUGGUCAAAGCCAUAACAGACAUCAUCGAGAUGGACUCUAAGCAGGUACCAAGAGAGAGCUAGCGUGCAUCACGCGCUGCAGCAAGCACAUCUUUAGCGCCAUCAAGAUCACCAAAAGCGAGCCAGCCUCGGCAGACAACUUCCUACCCACCCUAAUCUACAUCGUACAGAAAUCCAAUCCACCAUGCCUGCAAUCCAACAUCCAGUACAUCACCCGCUUCUGCAACCCCAGCAGGCUCGUGAAUGGAGAGGACGGAUACUACUUCACUAACCUGAUACGUUGCUGUGCAGUUGCCUUCAUUGAAAACCUGGACGCCCAGUCCCACAACUUGGACCCUGUGGACUUUGAGAGCUACAUGUUGGGCCAGGCCUUCCCUUGCAGGCCAGAGGUGGACAGUGGCUGGCCACAGAUUGACACUGCCGCUUCCAUACCCGCUCUGGCCCAGGUCAACCAGAAUCUGGAUCUCCUGUCAGGCCUGCGGAGCCGGCAGGAAAGGGUUUGGGAGGUGGCGCAGAGCAUGCAGAGUGACCUGAUCACCUGGCAGGAGAGUGUAGAGCGAGAGGUGCAGGAAAUCCUGGAGAAGUACCUGUUGGAGAUCAGCCCACCUUCCCUCUCUGCCAUCGACUCAGACAACAUGGAAAACGACCGGCUGCCACUGACGCCCCAGGUGUUUGCUGGGUAAUAUCUCUCCAGAAUGGGAGGCAAGAGGGCUUCUUGAACUAAUGAUCCUGCCUCUCUGUAAUGCUUUGAGCCGUCAUUGGUCUUUACUAUGGCGAGGUUCAGGAAUUGGCAGCCCCCUCGUGUCUAUACUGCUACCAUUUUAAACAUUCACAAACAUUAAGCCAAGUAGGCUUUUGUCCAUUUUUCCCCUAGACCCAAAAGCAUUCAUAGAUCUAAAUUAAUAGAUAAAAGGAAGGACUAAGUUUGAGGAAAAGAGUUAAGGGACCUUUAAUGGAACCAAGUCUUUACAAUGUUCCUGCAUACACAUACUCCUUUUAGACUAGCCCUCUUCAGAUCAGAUGGCCUGAGUUGGCAUUGGGCCCUAAUCUGUACUCCUCUACAUCCCUGCUGCACUGACACAGAUGGCACACCUUGAUACCGUAAGAUAACUUCUCCACCUUGUCGUGCUGAGGAAAGAGAUGCAUGUUACUUUUAGAUGGCUGCUGGUGAAUUUGGGAAAUGCUGACUAACAUUUAGUUAUUCUUCAGAUAGAGUGGUACAUGUUACAAACUGUGAAACCUAAAGAGUGACCAAGACUCAAGUUACUGUGUUAUGUACAAAAUGACAGUGAACUGCUGAUAUGGAUUGUGGCAUGUUGUGCAUCAUAGAAGUAAUUGUGAAAGAUGGAUGAUACCUGGGGAAGAUGGAUGAUACCUGGGGAAUGUUCAGAAAGGUGAAAUGCUCAGAUCAAUGCAGAUAAUUUUGUAUAUUUUAAGGAACACUUAACAGUUCAAUUGGAUUACAGCAUGAUAUUUACUCUUACUACAUGCCUUUUCUAUCUGCAAUCCAUUGAACAUUUAAAUCACCUGAAUAAACCCCAGGUUGUAAUACUUCAACAUCACUCACUCUGCUGUCACACAGACAUAUGUACUCUACUUUAACACUGUAAUCAACUGUGACUCACUGCUGAGUCUCUAAAAGAUUUGUAAAUAAGUGUGUGUAUAUUUGUCAACUUUUAAACUGAAUGGCACAUCACUAUUUUAUUAUGGAAAUGUAAUUUAUAAGAAUUGCCUUGUUUUACAGUGUGUAUUUAAUUGCUGUUCAAUGAAUAAACCCCAGGAAUGCAAAUCUAGUGGGGGUUUUUCCUCCUGCCUCACACCAUUUCCACCCAUACUGCUGAUGUUCUGCUUGGUCAAAAUCCCAUCUGGUUCGCGCUUACUGGGAUUAUAAUUUGCAUAUGUGUGAACUCCUUCAAGACAGUUGGAAAAGCAUUCCUCAUGAAGCUGGUUGUGAGAAUGUCAAGAGUGUGCAAAUCUGUAAUCGGGGCAAAG